AUUGAACGCUGGCGGCAUGCCUUACACAUGCAAGUCGAACGGCAGCGCGGGCUUCGGCCUGGCGGCGAGUGGCGGACGGGUGAGUAAUGCAUCGGAACGUGCCCAGGAGUGGGGGAUAACGUAGCGAAAGUUACGCUAAUACCGCAUACAUACUAAGGUAGAAAGCGGGGGAUCGAAAGACCUCGCGCUCAUGGAGCGGCCGAUGUCGGAUUAGCUAGUUGGUGGGGUAAAAGCUCACCAAGGCGACGAUCCGUAGCUGGUCUGAGAGGACGACCAGCCACACUGGGACUGAGACACGGCCCAGACUCCUACGGGAGGCAGCAGUGGGGAAUCUUGGACAAUGGGGGAAACCCUGAUCCAGCAAUGCCGCGUGUGGGAUGAAGGCCCUCGGGUUGUAAACCACUUUUGGCAGGAAAGAAAUCGCCUGUGCUAAUACCACGGGCGGAUGACGGUACCUGCAGAAUAAGCACCGGCUAACUACGUGCCAGCAGCCGCGGUAA
rnacentral:rRNA from 1 species